rnacentral:rRNA from 1 species
GACGAACGCUGGCGGCGUGCUUAACACAUGCAAGUCGAACGAUGAACCAGGGCUUGCCCUGGGGAUUAGUGGCGAACGGGUGAGUAACACGUGGGCAACCUGCCCCAGACACCGGGAUAACCAUUCGAAAGGAUGGCUAAUACCGGAUACGACCACUUCGGGCAUCCGAUGGUGGUGGAAAGGAUUCUGGUCUGGGAUGGGCCCGCGGCCUAUCAGCUUGGUGGUGGGGUAAUGGCCUACCAAGGCGACGACGGGUAGCCGGCCUGAGAGGGCGACCGGCCACACUGGGACUGAGACACGGCCCAGACUCCUACGGGAGGCAGCAGUGGGGAAUAUUGCGCAAUGGGCGAAAGCCUGACGCAGCGACGCCGCGUGAGGGACGAAGGUCUUCGGAUUGUAAACCUCUUUCAGCAGGGAUGAAGCGAAAGUGACAGUACCUGCAGAAGAAGCACCGGCUAACUACGUGCCAGCCGCCGCCGUAA